rnacentral:rRNA from 1 species
UACGUAGGGCGCAAGCGUUGUCCGGAAUUAUUGGGCGUAAAGAGCUCGUAGGCGGCCUGUUACGUCUGCUGUGAAAUCCCGGGGCUUAACCCCGGGCGUGCAGUGGAUACGGGCAGGCUGGAGGCAGGCAGGGGACGAACGGAAUUCCCGGUGUAGCGGUGAAAUGCGCAGAGUAUCGGGAGGAACACCGGUGGCGAAGGCGGUUCUCUGGGCCUGACUGACGCUGAGGAGCGAAAGCGUGGGGAGGCGAACGG